rfam:Omnitrophica WOR_2 bacterium SM23_72 WORSMTZ_89, whole genome shotgun sequence.
AAGGAUAAAGGCAAACUCUUCGUAAGGAGAGGACGCAAAGCCGUGCGUCCGUGAAUUUUAACGGAUAGGCAGGUUGCCGAAA